rnacentral:rRNA from 1 species
CCCUUAGAUGUUCUGGGCCGCACGCGCGCUACACUGACGAAUGCAACGAGCUUAUAACCUUGGCCGAAAGGUCUGGGUAAUCUCCAAAUUUCGUCGUGAUGGGGAUAGAUUAUUGCAAUUAUUAAUCUUCAACGAGGAAUGUCUAGUAAGCGCAAGUCAUCAGCUUGCGUUGAUUACGUCCCUGCCCUUUGUACACACCGCCCGUCGCUCCUACCGAUUGAAUGGUCCGGUGAAGCGUUCGGACCGUGGCCUUUGGACGGUUCGCCGUCUGUUGGCUGCGGGAAGUUCGUUAAACCUUNUNAUUUAGNGGAAGGAGAANUCGUANCA